rnacentral:rRNA from 1 species
GCUAAAAACCUAGCCCUCCCAUAUCUAAUGAACCCCUUUCACCUCAUCUUAUAAACCAAAACAUUUUAUAACUUUAGUAAAGGCGAUUGAAAAAGUAUUAGGAGCAAUAUAAACAGUACCGCAAGGGAAAGGUGAAAUAAAAAUGAAAUAAAUAUUAAGCACGAAACAGUAGAGAUUAAAUCUCGUACCUUUUGCAUCAUGGUUUAACAAGUCCAAUCAAGCAUAAAGAAUUUUAGUUUGACCUCCCGAAACUAAGUGAGCUACUUCAGGGCAGCUUAUUGAGCGAACCCGUCUCUGUUGCAAAAGAGUGGGAAGACCCUUAAGUAGGGGUGACAGACCUAACGAACUUAGUGAUAGCUGGUUACUCAAGAAAAGAAUUUUAGUCCAGCCUAAAGUCUCUCCAGUUAAACAAAACAUAAUUUUGACUUUAGAGUAAUUCAAAUAAGGUACAGCCUAUUUGAAAAAGGAUACAACCUAAACUAAUGGGUUAGACUUAAAAAUUUGUAAUUAAGUGGGCCUAAAAGCAGCCACCUUUAAAAUAGCGUCAAAGCUUCAUUACACUAAUUUUAUAAUACCCUAAAACAUCUCGAACCCUUUUAUUCUAUUGAGUAAUUCUAUAUCCCUAUAGAACAUAUAAUGUUAAAACUAGUAACAAGAAGAAGACCUUCUCUUUAAUGCAAGUAUAAAUCAGCUAGGACAAUCCACUGAUAAUUAACACGCAUGAAACAAUAUUAGCAACCUCGCAAGAAAACCCUAAUAUAUAACAUGUUAACCUAACACAAGAGCAUUACAAGAAAGAUUAAAAGAAAAAGAAGGAACUCGGCAAAUAUUAACCUCGCCUGUUUACCAAAAACAUCGCCUCUUGAAAUAACUAUAAGAGGUCCAGCCUGCCCAGUGACUCUGUUCAACGGCCGCGGUAUCCUAACCGUGCGAAGGUAGCGUAAUCACUUGUUCUUUAAAUGGGGACUUGUAUGAAUGGCACCACGAGGGUUAUACUGUCUCCUUUUUCUAAUCAGUGAAACUAAUCUUCCCGUGAAGAAGCGGGAAUAAAAAUAUAAGACGAGAAGACCCUAUGGAGCUUUAAACUUAGUAACAAGUACUACUAACCUUUUAACUUUCCGAAUAUAAAUUCUUACUUUAGUACUAUGAUUAUUAGUUUUAGGUUGGGGUGACCGCGGAGUAUAAACUAACCUCCACAUUGAACGGGACACAUCCCUGAGCCAAGAGCUACGACUCUAAGCACCAAUAAAUUGACAUUAAUUGACCCAUUUUUGUGAUCAACGAACCAAGUUACCCUAGGGAUAACAGCGCAAUCCACUUCAAGAGCUCAUAUCGACAAGUGGGUUUACGACCUCGAUGUUGGAUCAGGGUAUCCCAGUGGUGCAGCCGCUACUAACGGUUCGUUUGUUCAACGAUUAAAACCCU